rnacentral:rRNA from 1 species
CCCUUAGAUGUUCUGGGCCGCACACGCGCUACACUGAAGGAGGCAGCGUGUACUCCUGGAUCGAAAGAUUUGGGUAACCCGCGAAUCUCCUUCGUGCUAGGGAUUGAGGUUUGCAAUUAUCCUUCAUGAACGAGGAAUUCCCAGUAAGUGCAAGUCAUAAGCUUGCGCUGACUACGUCCCUGCCCUUUGUACGCACCGCCCGUCGCUACUACCGAUUGAAUGAUUUAGUGAGGACUUCGGACUGGGACCGAUGCGGCUUUCGGGCUGCGUCGGUAUUCUGGAAAGAUGUCCAAACUGUAUCAUUUAGAGGAAGUAAAAGUCGUAGCA